UCCGUAGGGGUGACCUGCGGAGGGAUCAUUACCGAGUUAUCCAACUCCCAACCCCUGUGAAUUAUACCUUUAAUUGUUGCUUCGGCGGGACUUCGCGCCCGCCGGGGACCCAAACCUUCUGAAUUUUUUUAAUAAGUAUCUUCUGAGUGGUUUAAAAAAAAAUGAAUCAAAACUUUCAACAACGGAUCUCUUGGUUCUGGCAUCGAUGAAGAACGCAGCGAAAUGCGAUAAGUAAUGUGAAUUGCAGAAUUCAGUGAAUCAUCGAAUCUUUGAACGCACAUUGCGCCCGUCAGUAUUCUGGCGGGCAUGCCUGUUCGAGCGUCAUUACGCCCCUCAAGUCCCCUGUGGACUUGGUGUUGGGGAUCGGCGAGGCUGGUUUUCCAGCACAGCCGUCCCUUAAAUUAAUUGGCGGUCUCGCCGUGGCCCUCCUCUGCGCAGUAGUAAAGCACUCGCAACAGGAGCCCGGCGCGGUCCACUGCCGUAAAACCCCCCAACUUUUUAUAGUUGACCUCGAAUCAGGUAGGACUACCCGCUGAACUUAAGCAUAUCAAUAAGCGGGAGGA
rnacentral:rRNA from 1 species